AAUCUGACUGUUUAAUUAAAACAAAGCAUUGCGAUGGCGACUGGUGUUGACGCAAUGUGAUUUCUGCCCAGUGCUCUGAAUGUCAAAGUGAAGUAAUUCAUCCAAGCGCGGGUAAACGGCGGGAGUAACUAUGACUCUCUAAGGGGCAGAAGCAAAUGGGGGCAGAAGCAAAUU
rnacentral:rRNA from 1 species